AUUCAAAGAAACCGACCUAUAUUUAACAACUUACGUGUUUGACAUCGCAGGAAUAACAAGAUGCCAUAUUACUACGUAAUCUGCAUAAAAUACUGCUGAGUAUGUUAUUAUUAUGCAGAUUAUACCACAAGGAUCAGAUCUGAAAACAGCCAUAGCCAGAUAUCUUCAUAUUAUGGCCUCAAAUCGACAUUUUCAAUGUUUCGAAGUGGGAAAUUAGCAACCGGAAAAGAAAUGCUGAAGGGAGGUAAUUUAUGUUUGGAUAUGGAAAUGUACCUUUUAGAAAGAAUAAAAUAAUAUACAGCAACGGUCUUAAAUCUUUAAUUUAUAGCUGUUGAUAAU
rnacentral:lncRNA from 1 species